rnacentral:tRNA from 1 species
GGGGUUGUAGCUCAGUGGUAGAGUCCUUGCUUGGCAUGUGUGAGGCCUGGGUUUGAAUCUCAGCACCA